rnacentral:rRNA from 1 species
UACGAGGGGGGCAAGCGUUGUUCGGAAUUAUUGGGCGUAAAGGGCGCGUAGGCGGUGCGGUAAGUCACCUGUGAAAACUCUGGGCUCAACUCAGAGCCUGCAGGCGAAACUGCCGUGCUUGAGUGUGGGAGAGGUGCGUGGAAUUCCCGGUGUAACGGUGAAAUGCGUAGAUAUCGGGAGGAACGCCUGUGGCGAAAGCGGCGCACUGGACCACAACUGACGCUGAGGCGCGAAAGCUAGGGGAGCAAACAGG